rnacentral:rRNA from 1 species
UUACCUUAGSGUUUCCUCUGGKGUAAGUGAUUGCUUCUACWCUGUGAMAAUUUGGCUGAGAGACUCAGACUGGUCAUGGGUAGACCUAUCUGGGGUUUGAUCGAUGCCACUCCUGGUUUCAGGAGCACCCUUCAUAAUAAACCUAGAAAUUCAGUAUUAUAAAGUUUAAUAAAAAACAACUUUUAACAAUGGAUCUCUUGGUUCUCGCAUCGAUGAAGAACGUAGCAAAGUGCGAUAACUAGUGUGAAUUGCAUAUUCAGUGAAUCAUCGAGUCUUUGAACGCAGCUUGCACUCUAUGGUUUUUCUAUAGAGUACGCCUGCUUCAGUAUCAUCACAAACCCACACAUAACAUUUGUUUAUGUGGUGAUGGGUCGCAUCGCUGUUUUAUUACAGUGAGCACCUAAAAUGUGUGUGAUUUUCUGUCUGGCUUGCUAGGCAGGAAUAUUACGCUGGUCUCAGGAUCUUUUUUUUUGGUUCGCCCAGGAAGUAAAGUACAAGAGUAUAAUCCAGUAACUUUCAAACUAUGAUCUGAAGUCAGGUGGGAUUACCCGCUGAACUUAAGCAUAUCAAUAAGCGGAGGAA